AUCUUUCACUCGUCAAUUAAAAUGGUGUAGCCCAGUGGCGGAUCUGCAAAUGUUCAAAAAUAAACAUAACUGAAAUUUCUGGUACAUUAUAUCUCCAAAAUAACAAGUUAAUUUGUGUUGUUCAAGUAGAAAAAACUGCCUCAACAAUGGCAUGCUGCUUUUUAGGAUACCCCAUACCAAUCAUGUGGUUAAGAUAAACCUUCCCAUCCUUCACAGUUGCUGCGGUGGCCAACCGGUGUGCUGGCCCUUUAAAUUUGGCUACAACAGAAGCAGUCUCCCACCCAUCAGAGCUCUCCACUAAUCUCCCUGAAGGAUUUCCUGCAACCACCAGCGUAGUAGGGGACAGUAACUCCAGGCCAUCUCCAAAGGACAGAGAGCCUCCACUUACUUUGAUUAACUUGACUUCAUCCCCCUUGGUUACAUCAAUCUUAAAUAAAUUGCCCGUGAAUGUAUGAAUGACUAUCAAGAAUCCAUCAGGGUGGUAAACAAUCCCAUUAAGUGCAACCAGGUUUUUGUACCACUCUUUUUGGAUGAAGAGUGGGUUUUUGAUAAUGGAUAGGAAUUCCCCAUCCUUCCUAACCUUCCAAAUUUUACUGGAUCUUGCAUCGGUAACGUAUGCAUUUCCUUCUGCAUCCACUGCAACAUCAUCCGCAAAGGAUUUCUCAUCGUUUGGGCCGCUGAGUACGGUAAGGAAAAGACGCUCCCAAGUAGACAAAUCAUAAGAUGCAAGCCCAUUAUACUUGUUCCCUAGGACGUCAGCGAUCACCACGAGCACCCGAUUCCUCGGCCGAUCAACGACGAUACCAAGCGAAGAGUUCCCAGCCACAUCAACGUCUUUCACCACAGUAACCUCCUGCAGAACACUAUCCGGGGAGUAAUCGUCGGGCACAUGAAUUUCGCCGACUCCACCAUCCAAGAAGGAGACGAUAAAUCGACGGUUAAGAUCAUCCCACUUGGCGCACUCACGGAAGAAACCAGAACUGUGAUAGUGAAAGACGUGGGUGGUGGGCUUGGCAAGCUCGAGAGAGAUGAUGAAGGCGAUGGGGAUGGCGGAUAGGAGGAAGAGAAAGAUAAGGGAUUUGGUGGAGCAGAAGGAAAAAGCCAUUGCAGAGGAUUUGUGGGAGGGAGUUGUAGAAGAGGGAAGCGUAGGUAUAAAUUAGGAGUGAGUGAGAAAGAGAAAGGGAGAAGAUACCAAUGAGAUGGACGUUGGACUUUUAU
rnacentral:misc_RNA from 1 species